GAUGAACGCUGGCGGCGUGCCUAAUACAUGCAAGUCGAGCGAACGGACGAGAAGCUUGCUUCUCUGAUGUUAGCGGCGGACGGGUGAGUAACACGUGGAUAACCUACCUAUACUACUCGGAUAACUUCGGGAAACCGUAUCUAAUACCGGAUAAUAUUUUGAACCGCAUGGUUUAAAAGUGAAAGACGGUCUUGCUGUCACUUAUAGAUGGAUCCGCGCUGCAUUAUGUAGUUGGUAAGGUAACGGCUUACCAAGGCAACGAUGCAUAGCCGACCUGAGAGAGUGGUCGGCCACACUGGAAGUGAGACACGGUCCAGACUCCUACGGGAGGCAGCAGUAGGGAAUCUUCCGCAAUGGGCGAAAGCAUGACGGAGCAACGCAGGGUGAGUGAUGAAGGUCGUCGGAUCGUAAAACUCUCUUAUUAGGGAAGAACAUAUGUGUAAGUACCUGUGCACAUCUUGACGGUACCUAAUAAGAAAGCCACGGCUGACUACGU
rnacentral:rRNA from 1 species